rnacentral:rRNA from 1 species
AGCGAACAUUGGCGGUAGGCUUAACACAUGCAAGUCGAGCGAGGCGUAAUAGUCGAGCGGCGAACGGGUGCGUAAUACGUGGGAAUCUACCCUGAAGUGGGGGAUAACGUCCAGAAAUGGACGCUAAUACCGCAUAAUCCACAUUGGGAAAGCGUUGCAGCGCUUUAGGAUGAGCCCAUGGCUGAUUAGCUAGUUGGUGAGGUAAUGGCUCACCAAGGCGACGAUCAGUAGCUGGUCUGAGAGGAUGAUCAGCCACACUGGAACUGAGACACGGUCCAGACUCCUACGGGAGGCAGCAGUGGGGAAUCUUGCGCAAUGGGGGCAACCCUGACGCAGCCAUACCGCGUGAGUGAUGAAGGUCUUCGGAUUGUAAAGCUCUUUCGGCGGGGACGACGAUGACGGUACCCGCAAAAGAAGUCACGGCUAACUUCGUGCCAGCAGCCGCAGUAA